GGUUAUAUACUAAAGGGGGCUUGACUAAGGGGAGACUUUAAAUAGCAAGUGUAGUUAAGCAUAUAAAGGACGCAUUCAAUUUCAGAGUACAAGUGAUGUCACUUCCAGACUCAUCUCAAUAUCAAUAAGAGAAGGAAUGAAUAACAAAAUGACAAUCUUGCAAGCAAUAUGAGAUGAAGAUUAUAAGAGCCAAUUAUAUAGUCAUCUUUUGAAGAGAAUACAUUCUAUUCAGCUCUAUGUAGUCCUUUUUGUAGAGUUAGGGGACUUUGAUAGGUGGUUUAUGGUGUGGAUUUUCAUGGUUAAAGGAAAUGUCAAUUCUCUUUUUCGUCCACUCUCUUAUCUAAUAGUAUGUUCUGGAUAUUUUAUGUUGCGGGUUCUAAUAUUUUACUUGCUAGAGUAAGACAUAAAUUUUCCAGUGUA